GGAUAACCUACCCUUAGGACUGGGAUAACCCUGGGAAACUGGGGCUAAUACCGGAUAGGCAAUUAUUCCUGCAAUGGUUUUUUGUUUAAAUGUUUUUUCGCCUAAGGAUGGGUCUGCGGCCGAUUAGGUAGUUGGUUAGGUAAUGGCUUACCAAGCCGUUGAUCGGUACGGGUUGUGAGAGCAAGAGCCCGGAGAUGGAACCUGAGACAAGGUUCCAGGCCCUACGGGGUGCAGCAGGCGCGAAACCUCCGCAAUGUGAGAAAUCGCGACGGGGGGAUCCCAAGUGCCAUUCUUAACGGGAUGGCUUUUCAUUAGUGUAAAAAGCUUUUGGAAUAAGAGCUGGGCAAGACCGGUGCCAGCCGCCGCGAUAACACCGGCAGCUCUAGUGGUAGCAAUUUUUAUUGGGCCUAAAGCGUCCGUAGCCGGUUUAAUAAGUCUCUGGUGAAAUCCUGUAGCUUAACUGUGGGAAUUGCUGGAGAUACUAUUAGAUUUGAGACCGGGAGAGGUUAGAGGUACUCCCAGGGUAGAGGUGAAAUUCUGUAAUCCUGGGAGGACCGCCUGUUGCGAAGGCGUCUAACUGGAACGGUUCUGACGGUGAGGGACGAAAG
rnacentral:rRNA from 1 species